GGGCGUCCGCAUUGUAAUCUAUAGAGGCGUUUUCUGUGCUGGACCGUGUCCAAGUCCCUUGGAACAGGGUAUCAAAGAGGGUGACAAUCCCGUACUUGACACGACAACCAGUGCUCUGUGAUACGUCUUCUACGAGUCGAGUUGUUUGGGAAUGCAGCUCAAAAUGGGUGGUGAAUUCCAUCUAAAGCUAAAUAUUGGCGAGAGACCGAUAGCGAACAAGUACCGUGAGGGAAAGAUGAAAAGCACUUUGGAAAGAGAGUUAAACAGUAUGUGAAAUUGUUGAAAGGGAAACGAUGGAGGUCAGUCGUGUCUGUGGGAUUCAGCCGUCUCUGGCGGUGUACUUCCCACAGACGGGUCAACAUCAGUUUUGGCUGGCGGAUAAAGGCAGGAGGAAGGUGGCACCCCCGGGUGUGUUAUAGCCUCUUGUUGCAUACGCUGGCUGAGACUGAGGAAUGCAGCUCGCCUUUAUGGCCGGGGUUCGCCCACGUUCGAGCUUAGGAUGUUGACAUAAUGGCCUUCAACGAC
rnacentral:rRNA from 1 species